GCAUACGGCUCAGUAACACGUAGUCAAUCUAACCUAUGGACGUGGAUAACCUCGGGAAACUGAGAAUAAUCCGCGAUAGAUCAUAAUUCCUGGAAUGGUUUAUGGUCCAAAUGAUUCGUCGCCAUAGGAUGGGACUGCGGCCUAUCAGCUUGUUGGUGAGGUAAUGGCCCACCAAGGCGAUUACAGGUACGGGCUCUGAGAGGAGAAGCCCGGAGAUGGGUACUGAGACACGGACCCAGGCCCUAUGGGGCGCAGCAGGCGAGAAACCUUAGCAAUGUGCGAAAGCACGACUGGGUCAGUCCGAGUGAUUCCUGAUAAAGGAGUCUUUUGCUUGUCCUAAAAGCACAGGUGAAUAAGGGGUGGGCAAGUCUGGUGUCAGCCGCCGCGGUAAUACCAGCACCUCGAGUGGUCAGGACGUUUAUUGGGCCUAAAGCAUCCGUAGCCGGCUUUGCAAGUCUUCGGUUAAAUCCACCUGCUCAACAGAUGGGCCGCUGGAGAUACUACAGAGCUAGGGAGUGGGAGAGGCAGACGGUAUUCAGUGGGUAGGGGUAAAAUCCUCUGAUCCAUUGAGGACCACCAGUGGCGAAGGCGGUCUGCCAGAACACGUUCGACGGUGAGGGAUGAAAGCUGGGGGAGCAAACCGGAUUAGAUACCCGGGUAGUCCCAGCUGUAAACGAUGCAAACUCGGUGAUGCAUUGGCUUAUGGCCA
rnacentral:rRNA from 1 species